CUCAGGUAAUAGCCAUACGGCUAUUUUAUCUCCAAAAGAUAAUGUUGGUGUAUGGAAAUUAUAGUCAUCCACAUCAUGCCACUGUCACAUUUUGCUUCGAUACUCAGCCACCGGUAGGCCCAAAGUUUGUAGAAUAAUAUCCAACAUCAUCCUGUGAGGUAUUUUCAUCAUCGGUGGAGCACCCUGUAGGCCAAUAACCAAGCUCGCCAUAAUCCGCUGACAGAUGCAAAUUGCAUUGACACAAACUGGAGCCCACGCAAGUGC